rnacentral:rRNA from 1 species
UACGUAGGGGGCAAGCGUUGUCCGGAAUUAUUGGGCGUAAAGCGCGCGCAGGCGGCUUUGUAAGUUUGGUGUUUAAUCUCAGAGCUCAACUCUGAUUCGCAUCGAAAACUGCAAGGCUUGAGUACAGAAGAGGAAAGUGGAAUUCCACGUGUAGCGGUGAAAUGUGUAGAGAUGUGGAGGAACACCAGUGGCGAAGGCGACUUUCUGGGCUGUAACUGACGCUGAGGCGCGAAAGCGUGGGGAGCAAACAGG